AACAGGGAUUGCCCUAGUAACGGCGAGUGAAGCGGCAACAGCUCAAAUUUGAAAUCUGGCUCCUUCGGGGUCCGAGUUGUAAUUUGCAGAGGGUGCUUUGGCGUUGGCGGCGGUCUAAGUUCCUUGGAACAGGACAUCACAGAGGGUGAGAAUCCCGUACGUGGUCGCCUGCCUUCGCCGUGUAAAGCCCCUUCGACGAGUCGAGUUGUUUGGGAAUGCAGCUCUAAAUGGGAGGUAAAUUUCUUCUAAAGCUAAAUACCGGCCAGAGACCGAUAGCGCACAAGUAGAGUGAUCGAAAGAUGAAAAGCACUUUGGAAAGAGAGUCAAACAGCACGUGAAAUUGUUAUAAGGGAAGCGCUUGCAGCCAGACUUGCCUGUAGUUGCUCACCUGGGCUUUUGCCCGGGGCACUCUUCUGCAGGCAGGCCAGCAUCAGUUUGGGCGGUCGGAUAAAGGCCUCUGACACGUACUUCCUUUCGGGGUUGACAUAUAGGGGAGGCGCAAUGCGACCAGCCUGGACUGAGGUCCGCGCAUCUGCUAGGAUGCUGGCGUAAUGGCUGUAAGCGGCCCGUCUUGAAACACGGACCAAGGAGUCUAACAUCUAUGCGAGUGUUUGGGUGUCAAGCCCGAGCGCGUAAUGAAAGUGAACGGAGGUGGGAACCCCUCGGGGCGCACCAUCGACCGAUCCUGAUGUCUUCGGAUGGAUUUGAGUAAGAGCAUAGCUGUUGGGACCCGAAAGAUGGUGAACUAUGCUUGAAUAGGGUGAAGCCAGAGGAAACUCUGGUGGAGGCUCGCAGCGGUUCUGACGUGCAAAUCGAUCGUCAAAUUUGGG
rnacentral:rRNA from 1 species